GAGUGAACGCUGGCGGUAGGCCUAACACAUGCAAGUCGAACGGCAGCACAGUAAGAGCUUGCUCUUACGGGUGGCGAGUGGCGGACGGGUGAGGAAUACAUCGGAAUCUACUUUUUCGUGGGGGAUAACGUAGGGAGACUUACGCUAAUACCGCAUACGACCUACGGGUGAAAGCAGGGGAUCUUCGGACCUUGCGCGAUUGAAUGAGCCGAUGUCGGAUUAGCUAGUUGGCGGGGUAAAGGCCCACCAAGGCGACGAUCCGUAGCUGGUCUGAGAGGAUGAUCAGCCACACUGGAACUGAGACACGGUCCAGACUCCUACGGGAGGCAGCAGUGGGGAAUAUUGGACAAUGGGCGCAAGCCUGAUCCAGCCAAACCGCGUGGGUGAAGAAGGCCUUCGGGUUGUAAAGCCCUUUUGUUGGGAAAGAAAAGCAGCAGGUUAAUACCCCGCUGUUCUGACGGUACCCAAAGAAUAAGCACCGGCUAACUUCGUG
rnacentral:rRNA from 1 species